rnacentral:tRNA from 1 species
GGAGAGGUGUCAGAGUGGUCGAAUGAGCAGUCCUGGAAAGACUGUAGUCGGGGUAACCGGCUCGAGGGUUCGAAUCCCUCCCUCUCCGCCA